rnacentral:rRNA from 1 species
AGAUUGAACGCUGGCGGCAGGCCUAACACAUGCAAGUCGAGCGGUAGAGAGGUGCUUGCAUCUCUUGAGAGCGGCGGACGGGUGAGUAAUGCCUAGGAAUCCGCCUAGUGGUGGGGGAUAACGGUUCGGAAACGGACGCUAAUACCGCAUACGUCCUACGGGAGAAAGCGGGGGACCUUCGGGCCUCGCGCCAUUAGAUGAGCCUAGGUCGGAUUAGCUAGUUGGUGAGGUAAUGGCUCACCAAGGCGACGAUCCGUAACUGGUCUGAGAGGAUGAUCAGACACACUGGAACUGAGACACGGUCCAGGACUACCGUA